UACGAAGGGGGCUAGCGUUGCUCGGAAUCACUGGGCGUAAAGGGUGCGUAGGCGGGUCUUUAAGUCAGUGGUGAAAUCCUUGAGCUCAACUCCAGAACUGCCUUUGAUACUGAAGAUCUUGAGUUCGGGAGAGGUGAGUGGAACUGCGAGUGUAGAGGUGAAAUUCGUAGAUAUUCGCAAGAACACCAGUGGCGAAGGCGGCUCACUGGCCCGAUACUGACGCUGAGGCACGAAAGCGUGGGGAGCAAACAGG
rnacentral:rRNA from 1 species